UCAAACACUGUUUCAUUAUUGAACUUGUUUGCUCUGUGAUGCUUAAUUUUUUUUUUACAACACUAUGUUUAGCAGCAAAUGAGGAAAUGCAGAAAAAAAAUCCGUCACAGUCACAUGCAUGAUGUUAUCUUAACCUUUAGAUACUCCUUGACUUAUGCCUGAUUAGUAAUUGCUGAAUCGAAUUUUGUAAUUGCAUUUAUUCAGACAAAUAGAAACAAAAUAAGUGUGUCUUUUACCUGUGAUUAUGUUCUGUUUUAUCCAGAUUACUUACAUUAGAGGAAAUUAUUCAUUAGCAACGAGAUUUUGAACUCACAAAGGAAUGUUUGUCCAGUAUCCAAAGGCACAUUCUGGAGAAACUGACUCAGAUUUCUUUUAAUUUACUCUGUCUUUGCACCAUACUGACAGGUUGUAGCAUUAAUGGUUACUGUCCCGGUUUAUCUUAUAUGACUCCGAAGAAUGGUAUCUUUCUCUAAAUCACACAUGGAAUCAGUUGUUUGCUGAAGAUGGUUGUAUCACCGCCUCAUUAACCACAAGCAGCACCACAGCAUUUCCUGUAUGUAACAGUCAGGCAGAUGCAUGGGUUGAAGAGCCAAUCCACCUCUGCUUUUUUUUUUUUCAACAUAGAGUUAAACGUAAGAACAACAACUCCAAAUAUUUAGAUUUGGAAUCUGAAUCAACUUCAUAUAUAGGAACUUUAUACAUGUUUUGAUAAACAAACAUUUUCUCGCAAUUAUGCUGAUAAAGCGAUAGAUUUUAUGUAGAUGUUAAAGUUCAUAACAAUGUGAGCACAUCCAUUGUAAGAUCUGUUGCAUUAUUCCAUAAUUUGAGCUGGGAGAAUAAUAAAUAUUGAAUGAAAGUGGUCUGAUAAUGGAGCCUUGGAGAACUUCAUAGCUAAUUGUUGUGCACUCAGUUUUAUGAUUGCCAAGUGACCAAAGUAAUCAUGGGUAUACCAAAGCUGCUGCUGCUCCUUUGCAUCAGAAGGGGUCAUUCUGACACGGUUUAAGUAUCAAAGCCUCAUGAACUUCUACCUUUGGAGGUUUUCUACCUCUAUUCCACAAGGAAGACAGAGUAUUGAUUGGAGAUUAAUACAUCCCUUAGAAAAAGCUUUAAAGUGUUGUUAGAGACACUGAGGGAUUUGAAAUGGCCUUGUUAACUUUACAGCUAGACCU